GGAACGCUAAUACCGCAUACGUCCUACGGGAGAAAGCAGGGGACCUUCGGGCCUUGCGCUAUCAGAUGAGCCUAGGUCGGAUUAGCUAGUUGGUGGGGUAAUGGCUCACCAAGGCGACGAUCCGUAACUGGUCUGAGAGGAUGAUCAGUCACACUGGAACUGAGACACGGUCCAGACUCCUACGGGAGGCAGCAGUGGGGAAUAUUGGACAAUGGGCGAAAGCCUGAUCCAGCCAUGCCGCGUGUGUGAAGAAGGUCUUCGGAUUGUAAAGCACUUUAAGUUGGGAGGAAUGGUAUUAACCUAAUACGUUAGUGUUUUGACGUUACCGACAGAAUAAGCACCGGCUAACUCUGUGCCAGCAGCCGCGGUAAUACAGAGGGUGCAAGCGUUAAUCGGAAUUACUGGGCGUAAAGCGCGCGUAGGUGGUUUGUUAAGUUGGAUGUGAAAGCCCCGGGCUCAACCUGGGAACUGCAUCCAAAACUGGCAAGCUAGAGUACGGUAGAGGGUGGUGGAAUUUCCUGUGUAGCGGUGAAAUG
rnacentral:rRNA from 1 species